rnacentral:lncRNA from 1 species
GGGUGCCCUCUGCUGACUGCCCACUGUGUGAAGACUGGAGGGCUGCGGUGAGGACCGGGAGGUCUUAUGUUGGCAUCCUUCACUGAUGGAUCCAGUCAGCAGGAGACUUAGAGUGGGCAGGUGGUCCAAGUUUCAGAGAAUGUAGGUGACCUCUGAGCCCAGCAGGGCUAGAGACACCAAGGCUACCCCUGAAGCUCCCAUGGCCCCAGAUCUUCUUCCUGAGCCAGCUGGGGGCAAAAAGCCCAGCCCAGAGGUUCCCUCUGCUUGGGAUGAGCCUUCUUCCUUCCUUCUCUAGCUGGCAUUGCAGCCACCCUAGCAGGAACCAUCCAGAGGUGUCUCCUUUGGCCACAAAUCUACACAACCAUGGUGGCUGUCUGAUUCCAGAACACUGUCCUCACCCAGAAGAAAACCCUAGGACUAUCUGUAGCCACUAUUUCUCCUAUUGACAGUCCACUAGACUUCUCAUAUUAGUGGAUUUACCUGUUCCUGGGCAUUUCAUCUAAAUAGUCUGGUCUCUCAUUGCACACAGUUGGGCCGCCCUCCUUCUCAGGGCUAAAGACACUGCGGGUACUCUGACUUGAUUAUCGAUUGAUUGUGUGUAUUUUGUUGUCCUCCUCUGGUUGUUGUCAAAAGGGCUGUUAUGACCAGGCAUUUGGGAGGCAGAGGCAGGUAGAUCUCCACAAGUUUGAGGCCAGCCUAGUCUACAUAGAGCAUUGAAGGUCAGCCAGUGUAACAAAGUGAGAUCUUGUCCCAAAG